GAAGAAGGUGCGGAGUUGCGCGUUGUCAUUACUAAACUAAUUUUUAGAGUUCUUCGAUUUGUCGCAAAGCUUGACGAUGGUAGCGAGCAUCAAGUUUCCCAGCAUGAUGUGGAGUUUGAGGUUAACAUGAAACGUUUUACUGUUGAAAAACUGAUACAACUCAUUGGGUCCAAAGUUGUUUGGGGGAGUGCGCAGGAGGUACAUAUUUUGUGCAAGGACAAGCAUUUUGAAUCAGUUGAGAGGCUUGAUAACCACUGGAAAUUGCUCACAUCAUUUCUUGAGAGUUGGGAAGAGAAAGAAUUGCUUGUGCUAGCUCAAGUUGUGGCCAUUGCAAAGGGGGUUACGGCAUCAUCUUGUUCAGAAUUAUCCCAUCUAGUGAGAUAG
rnacentral:rRNA from 1 species